rnacentral:lncRNA from 1 species
UGCCUCCCUUUGUAUUCCCGUGCAGUCAGUGUGGCAGGGCUGUGUCCUUCCUGGAAGUGCUUUGGGAUACCCUGAGCAGAGAGCAGCUGCUGUGACCCCACUGGUGCACCCUGACCAUCAGACCCCUCAGACCUGAGGUUCAGCCUUAUUUCCCUGAAGAAAUGAUGUUUUGGCAGCAGUCCCUGCCUGAGGAAACCCUUCCCUCUCUGCCUCUGCUGCAUCUGGAGACCUUGUGAGGACCUUGGAGCACGAAGGUCUUUGGACAUCUCAGCAAUGGAGAAUUUUGUCUCCAAAAUUCCUGAUCUAUUUUUGAAAUAUGGCCAUGAUGUGAGUGUGAUUUGAGGGAGGAAAAACUUAUCCAGAACUCAGCACUUCUGGAGGUCUCAGAUGAGGACAGAUCACUUGACAAUUCUACUACAGACAACAGCUCUGGACACUCUGUGCAGCUCAUACAGAGGAGGACUUGGCUCAGCCUUCCCUAAAUUUGCCUUGAAUGCAACAUCCGUGCUUGAUCAUAGCUGGAGCUUCCUCUCAUCAAAGGCAAUAUUCAUUUCUCCAGGCUGCUACAGCAUAAACAAAGCCCAUUUGAGAGGAGCUGCUCCGGAGGUGCCUUUGGGUGCUGUCUCCAGUCCUGCAGUCUCAGCAGACACGGCGCAGAACCUCCGCGUGGUCACGGCAGCACCGCGGAGCUCGCUGGACACAAACCCCAUCACCCCCGGGUGCACAGCAGCACUGGGGGCUGUGGGAUGAAGACAAGCUCUGGACACACUCCCAGCCCUGCCACUGCUGCUGGCACCCUUCGCAAGGAGUGUUUUUGGGACGGAGAUCCCACAGAGGUGUACGAGCAGCACCUGAGCCGUGCAGGUGGGGACUGCGAGCUCGCCAGGUGUCCCCAGGAGCCAGCAGGGGUUUCUACAGGAGGGGUUCGCUCUGGGGGCCCCCCGGGCUCCCCAGCACCCUCAGGGCUGGCUGCAGGUGGUGCGGCAGACACCCGGCAGCCCAUUGUAAAGCAAAUUAAUUCUCCCCGUGCUCUCGGGGAGGCUUGGCAGCGGCAGGGAGGAAAGCAGCUGCUCCGGGACUCACAACCCCUUUUGAUUUCAUUUGUCUGAUUUUAGCAGCAUGGGAGGGACACGUCAGCCACGGGGACAUCCCGCUGGCCGGAAUGCUGAGGUUGCCGUGGGUGAGCUCACAGCUUCUCCUCCUGGACAUCUUCCUCUCACCUCAGACAGGUUUUUAUUCUCCUGCUCCCUUUGGAGCAAACCCAGUGGUUUCACUGUCAAAGGACAGUGCUCGAUGGAUGAAUCCACCUUUUUUACCUAACAGGGUAAAACACGGUGUUUUUGACAACAAAUGGUGUUUUCUUGGAUGGAAACAACCAGUCCAAAUGGCUUCUGCUGGGUUUAGCAGCCUGUUUGGAGGGUCUGCCCUGGCGAGAGGGGUGUCAAGAGAGUAAACUCGGUGUUCAGCUGAUGGUUUGUGUUGCAGAGACUCUCGUUCAGAUGAUUUGUGGGUACACCGUAUGACUCAUGCAAGAUCUUCUCAGGUGGAAGAGAAACAGCUGGGAUGUGUUGGGAAGGCAAUGAAAAUUGGCACACAGAGAGUGUGGAUUACUGUGAGCUCAAACAAGUGCUGCAUUCUAUUGCCGUGGUAACUGAGAAUGUCAGUAUAUUUCACAUGGAAAAACUAUAUGCUGUCCUUAGCCAGUGCAUUUACCAACAUCGGGAAGAUGGUGACAAAAAUGAAUUAGCAAAGGCAAUGAAGAAAGAAAUUACAGCCUUCAGUUAUCCAUGAUACUCGAUUUCAGCAUACUUGACACACUCUGUAAUGUUUUCUUUUUAUUGCAUGCUGUUCUUUCUUUGCAUUGCUCAAUAAAUACUAGAUCUACAUAUAUAUUUGUUGAGGG